rnacentral:misc_RNA from 1 species
AUGGACAAAAAGAGAGUGGAAGUUCGUGUACGUGAGGGAAGAUUGAGCGGCACCGUCGAGGAAGCUGUUUUUGGUGACCCUUACAUCGCCUUCCGCGGGAUACCGUACGCGAAGCCACCAGUCGGCGAACUCAGAUUUAAGGAUCCGUUGCCUUCGAAACCAUGGUCCGGAGUCAGAGACGCUUCGAAGCACGGCAAUAUCCCCAUUCAGAGAGAUCCAAUAACGCGCGAGCUGAUCGGCGACGAAGAUUGCCUCUUCCUGAAUGUAUAUACCAAGAAUAUCAAGCCUUGCCAGAAACGGGCCACGAUGGUAUGGAUAUACGGCGGCGGUUAUACCAUGGGUUCCGGCGAUAUGAGCUUCUACGGUCCCGAUUACAUUAUUCAGUGGGACGUGGUGCUGGUCACCUUAAAUUACAGACUAGGCGUUCUCGGAUUUCUGAAUCUUGACAAUGAGGUAGCACCAGGUAAUCAAGGUAUGAAAGAUGUGGUCAUGGCAUUGAAGUGGGUCCAGCGAAAUAUAUCAAAGUUUGGUGGUGACCCGGGAAACGUCACAAUCUUCGGCGAAAGUGCUGGUGGAGCCAUCACACAUUUUCUCUCUGUGUCUCCAUUAACCAAAGGUCUGUUUCACAAAGCGAUAUCACAAAGCGGCGUGGCCAUCAAUCCAUGGGCCUUUAACGAAUGGACGAGCGAAGUAAACACAGGUCUUCUGUUUGCCGAAAAACUUGGUAAAGUGACCACGGAUCCGAAAAUCGCCUGUGAAUUUCUGAAAUCGAUUGAUGCGAAGGAACUCAUAAAAACAGAGCAGAUAUUUUUAUCGGAAAACAAAAAUCUAGCCAUCGCAUUUGCACCAAGUCCGGAUUCUGACAUGCCGAAUCCAUUCUUCCCAAAACGUCUCAAAAAUUAUGUAGACUGUGGAGUCCAAGUGCCGUUUCUUUUGGGUUUCAACAGUUGCGAGGGGUCAUUCCUCGUAAGCAGCAAUACUUUUGGAAACUUAAGCAAAAAUACUAUUCAGCAAAUCGAUUCUGAUUUCAAGAGGGCUAUACUAUCCAAAGUUCUGCCUACUUUGCCACUGAUACCGAUCACAGUGCAAGAAUUACGAUCUUUAUACUUUGGUGAUAAGGCAGUAUCAGAGGAAACUCUAGACAUUUACGCUGAUUUUCUUGGCGAUCAAUAUUUCUGCCGCGGUAUUAUGAAAAUCGCUGACAUUCAAGUGAAUCGUGGUAACUCUUGUAAAGCAACGUAUUUGUAUAAGUUUUCUUACGACAGCGACGAAUCUUUCAUGAAAAAAGUGAUGAACAUCCAAAUACCAGGAGCGCCUCAUGCAGCAGAAUUAUUUUACUUAUUUUGCCCUCACAUAAUGAAAGAGUUAGGAAUGCCAUUGUUUGAACGUGAUUCAAAGGAAUACAUGAUGAUGAAAUGCUUUACGCGAAUGUGGACAGAUUUUGCAAAAACGGGAAAUCCAACACCUGCUGUUACGGAUUUGACUCCGGUUAAGUGGACACCAUUGAAGAAGGGAAACGUGUACGAUUACUUGAAUAUCGAUACUCAAACUCGCAUGGAAAUUUUCCAUAAAGGACAACAACGCUGGGAUUGGGAAAAUCAACUGAUUUCUCACCGUGCAUAUCGAGGAAUUCGUGUUGCGGUGCCGUAACUAAAGAAGUAAUCAAUGCUUUCAAUAAUCAAUAUCGAUUAUUAUCUUAUAAUUUCAAUCUUAAUCGACAUUUAAUCAGUCUGAAAUCUACUGGACUUUCUUUUUAAAAUUUCGACGUGUUUUGCUGAGAUAAGCUUGCAGGGCAGUUUGAAGUUAGUGAAUCAGUAUCCAGUCAUUUGAGAGCAGUGGGAAAAACCCAGAGGGAAAGAAACUUUAAUAUCAUACGAAUUUUUGCAAGUACCUAAUAAGAAAGCAACUUAAAAUGCAUAUUUAUUUCUAAAUGAAGAUUUGCAAAUACAGGAUAAAUCAAAAUAAUAAUAAAUCGAAAAAUUUUCAGAAAUGAUUUAUACUUAUACCUAUAUGAGUAUUUUAAAAUUCAGAAGGUUUAUCUAUUGAUGAUUAUAGUUAUAAUAAGUAGUAAAUUAUUUAUCAAUUAUUUACCAAUUUGAUAGUUGCUAUCAAAUUUGAUGAAUUUCAGUUAGACAGAUAACAGUAUACCCUCUCUUAUCUUUCUAAAUAAGAGUACA